rnacentral:rRNA from 1 species
CCCUACGGGGGCCAGCAGUGAGGAAUAUUGGUCAAUGGUCGGGAGACUGAACCAGCCAAGCCGCGUGAGGGAGGAAGGUACAGAGUAUCGUAAACCUCUUUUGUCAGGGAACAAAGGCGGGGACGUGUCCCCGGGUGAGUGUACCUGAAGAAAAAGCAUCGGCUAACUCCGUGCCAGCAGCCGCGGUAAUACGGAGGAUGCGAGCGUUAUCCGGAUUUAUUGGGUUUAAAGGGUGCGCAGGCGGUCUGUUAAGUCAGCGGUCAAAGCCCGGGGCUCAACCCCGGUCCGCCGGUGAAACUGGCAGU